CCGCAUCUGAGUCCCAGCCCACCCACCCCUCGCCCCUCGCUUUGAUCCCAAGAGGGUGUUUGGUUGGACGGUAAACUUGCUGCACAACUGGACCUCGUUACAUGCAGUGAAACAAAUUACCACAUCACUGUUUACGGGUCUCCUUUGACUGCACAAGCUGAAUAUCAC